GGGGGUGUAGUUUAAUGGUAGAACGCUGGUCUCCAAAACCAGCAGUCAGGGUUCGAUUCCUUGCGCCCCCG
rfam:Parcubacteria bacterium GW2011_GWA2_47_21 TX94_C0019, whole genome shotgun sequence.